GAGAAUUUUCUUGAUUUCAGCUUUUAACAUGUUGUGUUACAAUAUCUUCACUCAUUUCAUCUAUUCUUUGACUAACAGUAUUGUUACUGAGUGGCAUGGCUUGAACCACUUUGUCAUCUUUUUCCAGGACUGUUUUAAAAAAUGCUGAUAUUGAUAGUUUAAUUAAAUCCUCUCCAAUAGUAUGAUUAUGAUUUCUUUUCCACAUU